AAAGGCAAGCAGGGAUCUGUACGGUCACUGUUCUCUUGCCAGGACAAGGGUGUACAAUAAGUUUCCUUUAUAAAGCACUCGUGUAAGUUCUUGCCUGGAGGCUGCAAAAAAAGUAACCUCAGGAAGGGCAAGGAGCGAGUGAUAAGCCAGAU
rfam:Otolemur garnettii contig012492, whole genome shotgun sequence.